AUUGAACGCUGGCGGCAGGCCUAAGACAUGCAAGUCGAGCGAGAAAGCCCUUCGGGGUGAGUACAGCGGCGGACGGGUGAGUAACGCGUAGGAAUCUACCUAGUAGUGGGGGACAACUCGUGGAAACGCGAGCUAAUACCGCAUACGCCCUACGGGGGAAAGCGGGGGAUCUUCGGACCUCGUGCUAUUAGAUGAGCCUGCGUAAGAUUAGCUUGUUGGUGAGGUAAAGGCUCACCAAGGCGACGAUCUUUAGCGGGUCUGAGAGGACGAUCCGCCACAUUGGGACUGAGACACGGCCCAGACUCCUACGGGAGGCAGCAGUGGGGAAUAUUGGACAAUGGGCGCAAGCCUGAUCCAGCCAUACCGCGUGUGUGAAGAAGGCCCUUGGGUUGUAAAGCUCUUUCGUCGGGGAAGAAAAUGACUGUACCCGAAUAAGAAGGUCCGGCUAACUUCGUG
rnacentral:rRNA from 1 species